AACGCACAUUGCGCCUGUUAGCAUUCUAGCAGGCAUGCCUGUCCGAGCGUCAUUUCUACCCUCAAGUUCUACUGUAACUUGGUGUUGGGGCACCUGCAGCAUUUAGUGCUUAUGGGCCCUGAAAAUCCUUGGCGGGCCCGCUAGGUCUCCGAGCGUAGUAGCAUUUUCUCGCUCCUGGAGGUUCUAGUAGGCUUUUCCAGCCCAUUAAAACCCUACUGAAAUAAGUUUGACCUCGGAUCAGGUAGGAAUACCCGCUGAACUUAA
rnacentral:misc_RNA from 1 species